GACGAACGCUGGCGGUGUGCUUAACACAUGCGAGUCGAACGGUAAGGCCCUUUCGGGGGUACACGAGUGGCGAACGGGUGAGUAACACGUGAGUAACCUGCCCUCAUCUCUGGGAUAACAGUCGGAAACGGUUGCUAAUACUGGAUAUGAGCUUGCAAGGCAUCUUGUGGGUUGGAAAGAUUUUUUUUGGUUGGGGAUGGACUCGCGGCCUAUCAGCUUGUUGGUGAGGUAGUGGCUCACCAAGGCUUCGACGGGUAGCCGGCCUGAGAGGGCGACCGGCCACAUUGGGACUGAGAUACGGCCCAAACUCCUACGGGAGGCAGCAGUGGGGAAUAUUGCACAAUGGACGGAAGUCUGAUGCAGCAACGCCGCGUGCGGGAUGGCGGCCUUCGGGUUGUAAACCGCUUUCAAUUGUGACGAAGCUUUUUUGUGACGGUAGCAGUAGAAGAAGCACCGGCUAACUACGUG
rnacentral:rRNA from 1 species